AUUGAACGCUGGCGGCAUGCCUUACACAUGCAAGUCGAACGGUAACAGGUCUUCGGAUGCUGACGAGUGGCGAACGGGUGAGUAAUGCAUCGGAACGUGCCCAGUAGUGGGGGAUAGCCCGGCGAAAGCCGGAUUAAUACCGCAUACGACCUACGGGUGAAAGGGGGGGAUCGCAAGACCUCUCGCUAUUGGAGCGGCCGAUAUCAGAUUAGGUAGUUGGUGGGGUAAAGGCCUACCAAGCCUGCGAUCUGUAGUUGGUCUGAGAGGACGACCAGCCACACUGGGACUGAGACACGGCCCAGACUCCUACGGGAGGCAGCAGUGGGGAAUUUUGGACAAUGGGCGCAAGCCUGAUCCAGCAAUGCCGCGUGCAGGAAGAAGGCCUUCGGGUUGUAAACUGCUUUUGUCAGGGAAGAAAUCCUCUGGGUUAAUACCUCGGGGGGAUGACGGUACCUGAAGAAUAAGCACCGGCUAACUACGUGCCAGCAGCCGCAGUAACAC
rnacentral:rRNA from 1 species